rnacentral:rRNA from 1 species
CUCUUUUUGCAUGUACCUUAUGAAUAAGGACCGGCUAAUUCCGUGCCAGCAGCCGCGGUAAUACUAGUCGAGGCAGCAGUGGGGAAUAUUGCACAAUGGGCGCAAGCCUGAUGCAGCGACGCCGCGUGCGGGAUGGAGGCCUUCGGGUUGUAAACCGCUUUUGUUCAAGGGCAAGGCAGGCUUUCGGGCCUGUUGAGUGGAUUGUUCGAAUAAGCACCGGCUAACUACGUGCC